rnacentral:rRNA from 1 species
UACGUAGGGUGCAAGCGUUGUCCGGAAUUAUUGGGCGUAAAGAGCUCGUAGGCGGUCUGUCGCGUCGGCUGUGAAAACCUGGGGCUUAACUCCGGGCCUGCAGCCGAUACGGGCAGACUAGAGUUCGGCAGGGGAGACUGGAAUUCCUGGUGUAGCGGUGAAAUGCGUAGAUAUCGGGAGGAACAUCAGUGGCGAAGGCGGCUGCCUGGCCCAAUACUGACACUCAGGUGCGACAGCGUGGGGAGCAAACAGG